rnacentral:lncRNA from 1 species
UCCAGGGUGCAGGCACGGUGCCCGGGCGACCCUCAGUCUCCCUCCGACACCCCGCAUCCCAACUCCCGCCGCCUUUGCGCCUCAAAGCUGGCAAACAUCCCCAAGCCAGAGCUGGAGUACCUGGAGUGGGUGGGGGUAAGAAGGGAAGCCAAGGUCGUCCCGGAAGGUGUGCGCCCCUCACCUUGCGGACGGUGCGUGCAGCCGCGCCGCACUGGGCAAACCGGCACGUCCAGCUGGCUCCAGAAGUCUCACUCGGAACCAGCUCCUUUUUCUCCUGAGCUGGAUCAGAGCACUGCUUCUCUCAACAUUCGAUUCUGGAGUACGUUGAGCCCAGGGCGUUCUCCCCGCCAGCGUCCUUGCCCGCGCCAGUGCCCGCCGGGGUGCGGCGAGACAGAACCUGGGAGCGCGGCGCGCCGGGCAGCCCGAGGCACCGCUGGUGGCAGGCGCUGCGCUUCGCCGAGUCUGGGCGCCUGGACUGGAAGAGGAGGCGAGAGGGAGAGAGCGGGGAAGAGGAGGAGGAGGAGGAGCAGGAGCAGGAGCAUGGGCAGGGGCAGUCUGCUAAAUCAUCUACGCAGUGUGUUCCAGGAUGGGCUAAUAGAGCUCCAGGGAAAGCUGGGUUAUGGGAGUGAGUGGACUGCACGUGGGAGGAAGGAAGAACUCAGGGUCAGUAAAGGAGCAGCUUCCUGACCUGGGAGUAUUUGGCAGGGUGAGUACAUGUGGGGUAGACAAAUCACAGAGUUCUUUAAAAUGGGUUUAUUAUUUGUUUUUAUUAAUAAUAUUGUUAGUUUGUAUAGAAACUUAGAAUUUUCAAAGCACUUUCCCUAUCUUCAUAAAAUCUGGCAAUUCCAAAUCAUUUUCUAAAAAUAUACUGUUUAUGAAAUAACAUAUCAG